rnacentral:rRNA from 1 species
UUGAGGGGCAGCAUGAAUAAUAGCAAUAUUAUUUGAUGGCGACCAGCGCACGGGUGCGUAACACGUAUGCAAUCUGCCUCGUACUUGGGCAUAACUCCGAGAAAUCGGUGCUAAUUCCCAAUAACACUAUGAAGUGGCAUCGCUUUAUAGUUAAAGUUCCGGCGGUACGAGAUGAGCAUGCGCCCAAUUAGCUAGUUGGUGAGGUAAUGGCUCACCAAGGCUACGAUUGGUAGGGGUUCUGAGAGGAUGAUCCCCCACACUGGUACUGAGACACGGAUCAGACUCCUACGGGAGGCAGCAGUGAGGAAUAUUGCGCAAUGGACGAAAGUCUGACGCAGCCAUGCCGCGUGAAGGAUGAAGGCCCUAUGGGUUGUAAACUUCUUUUGUACGGGAAAAAACCCUUCUACGUGUAGGGGGCUGAUGGUACCGUAAGAAUAAGCACCGGCUAACUCCGUGCCAGCAGCCGCGGUAAUACGGAGGGUGCAAGCGUUAUCCGGAUUUAUUGGGUUUAAAGGGCCCGUAGGCGGGCCGAUAAGUCAGUGGUGAAAGCCCAUAGCUCAACUAUGGAACUGCCAUUGAUACUGUCGGCCUUGAGUACAAGUGAGGUUGGCGGAAUGUGUGGUGUAGCGGUGAAAUGCUUAGAUAUCACACAGAACACCGAUUGCGAAGGCAGCUGGCCAACUUGUAACUGACGCUGAGGGACGAAAGUGUGGGGAUCAAACAGGAUUAGAUACCCUGGUAGUCCACACCGUAAACGAUGAUUACUAGA